rnacentral:rRNA from 1 species
UACGUAGGUGGCAAGCGUUGUCCGGAUUUAUUGGGCGUAAAGAGCUCGUAGGCGGUCUGUCGCGUCGAUCGUGAAAACUUGGGGCUUAACCCUGAGCUUGCGGUCGAUACGGGCAUGACUGGAGUUCGGCAGGGGAGACUGGAAUUCCUGGUGUAGCGGUGAAAUGCGCAGAUAUCAGGAGGAACACCGGUGGCGAAGGCGGGUCUCUGGGCCGAUACUGACGCUGAGGAGCGAAAGCGUGGGGAGCGAACAGG